GACGAACGCUGGCGGCGUGCUUAACACAUGCAAGUCGAACGGAAAGGCCCUGCUUUUGUGGGGUGCUCGAGUGGCGAACGGGUGAGUAACACGUGAGUAACCUGCCCUUGACUUUGGGAUAACUUCAGGAAACUGGGGCUAAUACCGGAUAGGAGCUCCUGCUGCAUGGUGGGGGUUGGAAAGUUUCGGCGGUUGGGGAUGGACUCGCGGCUUAUCAGCUUGUUGGUGGGGUAGUGGCUUACCAAGGGUUUGACGGGUAGCCGGCCUGAGAGGGUGAACGGCCACAUUGGGACUGAGAGACGGCCCAGACUCCUACGGGAGGCAGCAGUGGGAAAUAUUGCACAAUGGGCGGAAGCCUGAUGCAGCAACGCCGCGUGCGGGAUGACGGCCUUCGGGUGGUAAACCGCUUUCGCCGGUGACGAAGCGUGAGUGACGGUAAUGGGUAAAGAAGCACCGGCUAACUACGUG
rnacentral:rRNA from 1 species